rnacentral:misc_RNA from 1 species
AAAAUGCGAUAAGUAGUGUGAAUUGCAGAAUUCAGUGAAUCAUCGAAUCUUUGAACGCACAUUGCGCCCUUUGGUAUUCCUUAGGGCAUGCCUGUUCGAGCGUCAUUUUCACCUUCAAGCACAGCUUGGUGUUGGGCGUCUGUCCUCACGGACUCGCCUCAAAAGAAUUGGCAGCCACUUCAGCGGCUUUGAGCGCAGCAGAAUUGCGUCCUCUAGCAGCGGAAGGUGGCAUCCAUAAGCUUACUUUUCAUUUUGACCUCGGAUCAGGUAGGGAUACCCGCUGAACUUAA